UAAGGCAAUAGAUUUACACCUGUGAGAGGACUCUGAGAUUUACCUUUCACAUGACCUUGUGCCAUACCGCUGUGAGUCUGAUGCUAAGAAACUUUGGUGUGAAACUAUGCAACUAAGACAUGCUCAGUGAGCAAGAACCUGCUUUUCACUUAGAUAAAAUUUCACGGAGGCUCACAUCAAACUAAGGGUAUAUCAAGCGUAAUAGCUAAAAUAGCUCGAGUUAAAAUAUCUCAAGUGGUACAAAAUCACUAGGAUUAUACAAAAGAACCUGAAAUUUGCAAUGAACUUCCCCGAGUGAAUCACACAUGUACAAGUUAUGGAUCCCAAAAGACUUUCCAAGACUGACAUUGGUCCCAGAGAUGCUGACCUUGCUCCCACGAAAGCAAGAGAAGAUUCCCCACUGUCCUUAUGGGGAAAGUAAUACUGUUGGGGGCUGGAGAUUUUCUACGUUUUUAGCGAAAUGCCAGGGAAUCUUUACCUUCCACCUGGACGGCCACCAGAGACAAACAGAAAGGACCUUGGGUUUAAUGUCUCAUCUAAAGGAUAUUAUAAUGUGUUGGCCUCAUUAUUCACAGCAGAAAAGGCCUUUGUCAUGGUCAGAUGGCUUUAAUGUGUUUCGUAUGCUACAUAAAUUCAAACUUGAUGGCUCAUUUAUUUGUUGGAUUGCAGCGUUAUUCAACCUAAAUGAAGCCUUGGUAUUUACUAAUAA